AAUUUAUUAUUAAUACAAAUAGUCUCAAAUUCAUAUAGAUUAGACUUGCAGAAAUUAAUAUAAUAAGUAUUCCGACUAUUAUUGAAGAAAGUUUAUAUUUUCUAACAUAAUAGUCAAUAAUAUUUUUACCAAUAAGGGUACAAAUAACUGAAAUAAAAAGUAGUAAAAUAGCCAAAUCAAAGUGAACUCUCCCUUCAAAUAGGUAUGUAAAAAAGCAUGUCAAAGUUGAUAUGAUCAAACAAGUGGAGUUAUUUGCAGCAAUUGAAGAAGGAUCGACUUGAGAGGAAUAGAAAAUCGUACUUAUCAGAAUCCCCCCGCUUGCACCUGUAAUUCCACCUAUUAGUCCGACUGAGAGUACCUCCAAGCUUGCCAAAAUAUAGUUUGAAAAAUUAUUACAAUAUUUAGACCGAAUAUAAGACACUAUAUCGAUUGCGUUAUAAUCUUGGUUUGCCACAUUACUGUGGAAAGUCUUUGCGAUUUUUGCAAGCCUUUCUUGUGAAUUAAUUAUUGAAGUUAUCAAAUUCAAAGAUCGUUUUGGAAGCGAAAUGUUUGGGAAUAGCAACAGUAUAAUCACGCUGGAUAGCCACAAUAGCAAAUGAAUACGAGAUUCUUUUGAAAAUAGUAUGCCACUCUCUAAAAUAGAGAUCCAAACUGAGAAAAAGCAGAGCAAAAUAAAUGUAAUCCACAGUUUGUAGUUUCUAAAUUUUACCCAUUUAUCCUGAUGUAGUGGAGAAGCAAUUUGAAUAAUGCUACUUUGCUCGUUAAUGCUAUUCAUUACGAUUUUCUCUACUCUAAUAAUAGAUAAAGUAUAUAAAUACAAAAUGACCU
rnacentral:antisense_RNA from 1 species